GAUGAACGCUGGCGGCGUGCCUAAUACAUGCAAGUCGAGCGAACGGACGAGAAGCUUGCUUCUCUGAUGUUAGCGGCGGACGGGUGAGUAACACGUGGAUAACCUACCUAUAAGACUGGGAUAACUUCGGGAAACCGGAGCUAAUACCGGAUAAUAUUUUGAACCGCAUGGUUCAAAAGUGAAAGACGGUCUUGCUGUCACUUAUAGAUGGAUCCGCGCUGCAUUGGCUAGUUGGUAAGGUAACGGCUUACCAAGGCAACGAUGCAUAGCCGACCUGAGAGGUUGAUCGGCCACACUGGAACUGAGACACGGUCCAGACUCCUACGGGAGGCAGCAGUAGGGAAUCUUCCGCAAUGGGCGAAAGCCUGACGGAGCAACGCCGCGUGAGUGAUGAAGGUCUUCGGAUCGUAAAACUCUGUUAUUAGGGAAGAACAUAUGUGUAAGUAACUGUGCACAUCUUGACGGUACCUAAUCAGAAAGCCACGGCUAACUACGUG
rnacentral:rRNA from 1 species